UACGUAGGGGGCAAGCGUUGUCCGGAUUUAUUGGGCGUAAAGAGCGUGUAGGCGGCCAUACAGGUCCGUUGUGAAAACUCGAGGCUUAACCUCGAGACGUCGAUGGAAACCGUAUGGCUAGAGUCCGGAAGAGGAGAGUGGAAUUCCUGGUGUAGCGGUGAAAUGCGCAGAUAUCAGGAAGAACACCGGUGGCGAAGGCGGCCCACUGGUCCGGUACUGACGCUGAGGUGCGAAAGCGUGGGGAGCAAACAGG
rnacentral:rRNA from 1 species